rnacentral:rRNA from 1 species
AUGAACGCUAGCUACAGGCUUAACACAUGCAAGUCGAGGGGCAGCAUGGUCUUAGCUUGCUAAGACUGAUGGCGACCGGCGCACGGGUGAGUAACACGUAUCCAACCUGCCGUCUACUCUUGGACAGCCUUCUGAAAGGAAGAUUAAUACAAGAUGGCAUCAUGAGUCCGCAUGUUCACAUGAUUAAAGGUAUUCCGGUAGACGAUGGGGAUGCGUUCCAUUAGAUAGUAGGCGGGGUAACGGCCCACCUAGUCUUCGAUGGAUAGGGGUUCUGAGAGGAAGGUCCCCCACAUUGGAACUGAGACACGGUCCAAACUCCUACGGGAGGCAGCAGUGAGGAAUAUUGGUCAAUGGGCGAGAGCCUGAACCAGCCAAGUAGCGUGAAGGAUGACUGCCCUAUGGGUUGUAAACUUCUUUUAUAAAGGAAUAAAGUCGGGUAUGCAUACCCGUUUGCAUGUACUUUAUGAAUAAGGAUCGGCUAACUCCGUGCCAGCAGCCGCGGUAAUACGGAGGAUCCGAGCGUUAUCCGGAUUUAUUGGGUUUAAAGGGAGCGUAGAUGGAUGUUUAAGUCAGUUGUGAAAGUUUGCGGCUCAACCGUAAAAUUGCAGUUGAUACUGGAUAUCUUGAGUGCAGUUGAGGCAGGCGGAAUUCGUGGUGUAGCGGUGAAAUGCUUAGAUAUCACGAAGAACUCCGAUUGCGAAGGCAGCCUGCUAAGCUGCAACUGACAUUGAGGCUCGAAAGUGUGGGUAUCAAACAGGAUUAGAUACCCUGGUAGUCCACACGGUAAACGAUGAAUACUCGCUGUUUGCGAUAUACGGCAAGCGGCCAAGCGAAAGCGUUAAGUAUUCCACCUGGGGAGUACGCCGGCAACGGUGAAACUCAAAGGAAUUGACGGGGGCCCGCACAAGCAGUGGAGUAUGUGGUUUAAUUCGAAGCAACGCGAAGAACCUUACCAGGUCUUGACAUCCGAUGCAUAGUGCAGAGAUGCAUGAAGUCCUUCGGGACAUCGAGACAGGUGGUGCAUGGUUGUCGUCAGCUCGUGUCGUGAGAUGUUGGGUUAAGUCCCGCAACGAGCGCAACCCUUAUCUUCAGUAGCCAGCAUUUUAGAUGGGCACUCUGGAGAGACUGCCAGGGAUAACCUGGAGGAAGGUGGGGAUGACGUCAAAUCAGCACGGCCCUUACGUCCGGGGCUACACACGUGUUACAAUGGGGGGUACAGAGGGCCGCUACCACGCGAGUGGAUGCCAAUCCCAAAAACCUCUCUCAGUUCGGACUGGAGUCUGCAACCCGACUCCACGAAGCUGGAUUCGCUAGUAAUCGCGCAUCAGCCACGGCGCGGUGAAUACGUUCCCGGGCCUUGUACACACCGCCCGUCAAGCCAUGGGAGCCGGGGGUACCUGAAGUGCGUAACCGCGAGGAGCGCCCUAGGGUAAAACUGGUGACUGGGGCU